GUCUAUAAUGUGGCACAGUGGCUUCAGUGCUGGACUAAGAUUCUAGAGACCAGGGUUCAAUUACCAGUUUGGCCA